rnacentral:sRNA from 1 species
AGGAACUGAUGUUCAAUAGCCGUCUUAGCUCAGCGGUAGAGCGCGUGGCUUU